rnacentral:lncRNA from 1 species
UAUGCUCUAAUUUAGCCUCCCCCAAUAAAUUUAGAAGGUGGAUGCACUCCUGAUUAUCUGUCACCCUAUGAAUCUUUGAUUGUUCUGUAAUGCAUAUUCUGUAAGGAACUAAAUGGUCCCUUAUGGACUUCUGAAGUCUUGCAGUUUGCUUUCCAUGACCUAUGCUCUAAUUUAGCCUCCCCCAAUAAAUUUAGAAGGUGGAUGCACUCCUGAUUAUCUGUCACCCUAUGAAUCAAUUAGAAAUUUGAAAUUUGGUUAGUGUUCAUCCUGGUUAGGCUAUAAUGCAAAGCUUCCAUGUGUACACCCUUUCUGCAAAGAUUCUUAUUAUUGCAAGUUGCCUUGGAAAGGAUUCAUUUGUUGACAUCAUUGGUUAAAAUGUUACUCAUUCUUAUAGUGAGAGCAAGUUAGCUAAUGACACGUAUAGGAUGGCACGCAUCACGUUGCUGGACAUAUGGGCAAAACUAGUUUCUGAAGCAAUUCACAUAAAUUGUGGAAGUCGCAGAAAUUGUUAUCUUCAUUUUCAUUUCUUCAGUAAAAUUGUUAAUAGUUAUUUUCCUUUCAUAUGCAG